AUUGAACGCUGGCGGCAUGCCUUACACAUGCAAGUCGAACGGUAACAGGUCUUUCGGGAUGCUGACGAGUGGCGAACGGGUGAGUAAUACAUCGGAACGUGCCUAGUAGUGGGGGAUAACUACUCGAAAGAGUGGCUAAUACCGCAUGAGAUCUAUGGACGAAAGCAGGGGACCUUCGGGCCUUGUGCUACUAGAGCGGGCGAUGGCAGAUUAGGUAGUUGGUGGGAUAAAAGCUUACCAAGCCUACGAUCUGUAGCUGGUCUGAGAGGACGAUCAGCCACACUGGGACUGAGACACGGCCCAGACUCCUACGGGAGGCAGCAGUGGGGAAUUUUGGACAAUGGGCGCAAGCCUGAUCCAGCAAUGCCGCGUGCAGGAUGAAGGCCUUCGGGUUGUAAACUGCUUUUGUACGGAACGAAAAGUCUUGGGUUAAUACCCUGGGAUCAUGACGGUACCGUAAGAAUAAGCACCGGCUAACUACGUGCCAGCCGCCGCCGUAA
rnacentral:rRNA from 1 species